UGGAGGGCAAGUCUGGUGCCAGCAGCCGCGGUAAUUCCAGCUCCAAUAGCGUAUAUUAAAGUUGUUGCAGUUAAGAAGCUCGUAGUUGAAUUUCUGCCCCGCCUUUGGACUCGCUUCGGGCGUUUCCAUCCGGCCCGGCUUUCGGAGUCGCCUCGGCCUCUCCGUUUACUUUGAGAAAACUAGAGUGUUUCAAACAGGCCCUUGCCUUGAAUACUACAGCAUGGAAUAAUAAAGUAGGACUUUGGUUCUAUUUUGUUGGUUUUUGAGCCAUAGUAAUGGUUAAUAGGAGCAGUUGGGGGCAUUCGUAUUUAACUGUCAGAGGUGAAAUUCUUAGAUUUGUUAAAGACGAACUACUGCGAAAGCAUUUGCCAAGGAUGUUUUCAUUAAUCAAGAACGAAAGUUAGGGGAUCGAAGACGAUCAGAUACCGUCGUAGUC
rnacentral:rRNA from 1 species